CUCACAUUCCAGUUCAUUUUGAGUUUUCAUGAAACUCUUCAUUCUGGAAAACAGACUGGACACCUCAUGACAAUAGGUUCUUGGUGGCACAGUUGUCUUUGCCAGCCUGCAGUAGAUUUCUUCAUCAGUACAAUUCAGACUGGCCUUUUCCUGUUCACUGAGAAGACCUCCCAUCAAUACAUGGAACAAAUAUACAAUUGGGCUCCAACAGAAAUCUUCCGAGGAGGAGUCAGUCCAAAAGGAGAGAUGAUGACGACUGGAGGGAUGACUUUUUUGAGAGGGCUAUGCCUUGCUUGA
rnacentral:lncRNA from 1 species